AUGAACGCUGGCGGCGUGCCUAAUACAUGCAAGUCGAGCGAACAGACGAGGAGCUUGCUCCUCUGACGUUAGCGGCGGACGGGUGAGUAACACGUGGAUAACCUACCUAUAAGACUGGGAUAACUUCGGGAAACCGGAGCUAAUACCGGAUAAUAUAUUGAACCGCAAGGUUCAAUAGUGAAAGACGGUUUUGCUGUCACUUAUAGAUGGAUCCGCGCCGCAUUAGCUAGUUGGUAAGGUAACGGCUUACCAAGGCAACGAUGCGUAGCCGACCUGAGAGGGUGAUCGGCCACACUGGAACUGAGACACGGUCCAGACUCCUACGGGAGGCAGCAGUAGGGAAUCUUCCGCAAUGGGCGAAAGCCUGACGGAGCAACGCCGCGUGAGUGAUGAAGGUCUUCGGAUCGUAAACCUCUGUUAUUAGGGAAGAACAAAUGUGUAAGUAACUAUGCACGUCUUGACGGUACCUAAUCAGAAAGCCACGGCUAACUACGUG
rnacentral:rRNA from 1 species